GCAUUAAUGGGGUAGUGGUAACCUGGGUCGUUGCCAUUUAAGAGUACUGCGUGAAAUCUCUCGACCCGCCGGGGGUUCGAUUCCCCCUUAAUGCA